rnacentral:tRNA from 1 species
GGAGAGGUGGCCGAGUGGCCUAAGGCGCAGCACUGGAAAUGCUGUGUGCUCCUAAAGGGCACCGUGGGUUCAAAUCCCACCCUCUCCG